ACUAUGUGCCAGCAGCUGCGGUAAUACAUAGGUCGCGAGCGUUAUUCGGAUUUAUUGGGCGUAAAGCAAGCGCAGGCGGAUUGAUAAGUUCUGUGUUAAAAGCAGCUGCUCAACAGUUGUUUGCACCGAAUACUGUCAGUCUAGAAUGUGGUAGGGAGUUUCGGAAUUAAAUAUGGAGCGGUGGAAUGUGUAGAUAUAUUUAAGAACACCAGAAGCGAAGGCGGAAACUCAGGCCAUUAUUGACGCUUAGGCUUGAAAGUGUGGGGAGCAAAUGGGAUUAGAUACCCCAGUAGUCCACACCGUAAACGAUGGGUAUUAGAUGUCGGGAUUUAAGUUUCGGCGUUGUAGCUUACGUGUUAAAUACCCCGCCUGGGUAGUACAUAUGCAAAUAUGAAACUCAAAGGAAUUGACGGGGACCUGAACAAGUGGUGGAACAUGUUGCUUAAUUCGAUAAUACACGAAAAACCUUACCAAGGUUUGACAUCCCCCGCAAAGCCAUGGAAACAUGGUGGAGGUUAUCGGGGUGACAGGUGGUGCAUGGUUGUCGUCAGCUCGUGUCAUGAGAUGUUUGGUUAAGUCCCGCAACGAGCGCAACCCUACUCCUUAGUUACCUUUUCUAAGGAGACUGAACAGUAAUGUAUAGGAAGGUUGGGAUCACGUCAAAUCAUCAUGCCCCUUAUGCCUUGGGCUGCAAACGUGUUACAAUGGCGAGUACAAUGUGUCGCAAGCUAGC
rnacentral:rRNA from 1 species